rnacentral:tRNA from 2 species
UCCUUGUUAGCUCAGUUGGUAGAGCGCUUCACUGGAAAUAAAGAGGUCCAUGGUUAGAUACCAGGACUAGGCG